rnacentral:rRNA from 1 species
AACUCCUCACUCCCGUACUAAGCAAUACUAUACCUCUAUAGAAAAUUUUAUGUUAAAACUAGUAACAAGAAGACAGACCUUCUCUUAAAGGUAAACGUAAAUCAUAAGGACAAACCACUGAUAUUUAACGCUCAAGAACCAGAAGUAAUAACCAACCAAGAAAACUUUACUUUAAUUAACGUUAACCUAACACAAGAGCAUUUCAAGAAAGAUUAAAAGAAAAAGAAGGAACUCGGCAAACUUUAACCUCGCCUGUUUACCAAAAACAUCACCUCUUGAUAAUAAUGAGAGGCCCAGCCUGCCCAGUGACCCAGUUCAACGGCCGCGGUAUCCUAACCGUGCGAAGGUAGCGUAAUCACUUGUUCUUUAAAUAAGGACUAGUAUGAACGGCAUCACGAGGGUUAUGCUGUCUCCUUUUUCCAAUCAGUGAAACUAAUUUCCCCGUGAAGAAGCGGGGAUAAAAUUAUAAGACGAGAAGACCCUAUGGAGCUUCAAACAACACAACAAAUGCCAAACAACUUAAAAAUUUCAUAACUCCAAAUUUACUCAGCAUUAUGAUUGUUAGUUUUAGGUUGGGGUGACCGCGGAGCAAAACACAACCUCCACAUUGAAAGAAUUUUAUUCUAAGCCAAGAACCACAACUCAAAGCAUCUAUAUAUUGACAUUAAUUGACCCAAUAAACUUGAACAACGAACCAAGUUACCCUAGGGAUAACAGCGCAAUCUACUUCAAGAGCCCCUAUCGACAAGUAGGUUUACGACCUCGAUGUUGGAUCAGGGUCUCCAAGUGGUGCAGCCGCUACUAAAGGUUCGUUUGUUCAACGAUUAAUACCCUA